rnacentral:rRNA from 1 species
AUGCUAGGGACCUCUUGCACACACGCCACCAAGGGGAAGGCAACUGCCGGCUCAGGGCAAGGAAACGACGACGAUGAGAGGCAUGCCAUUGCCAGAACACCAGGGACUUGUGGAGAACACAAUCAGACAGUUCCAUCGUCAAAGAAGGCCCCUGCCUCCUCUCCUGGCUCGAAAGGCGCCACACCGUUGAGAGAUGGACUAGUUCACCCUAGAACCUGCCUGAAUGGCACCCAAGGCAGCCACAGGAGCAGAACCAGGUGUUCCUCACUUGUCGACGGCGACUCACCUAGAGCCAAGCAGCCCCAAAACCGAAGAUCGGGCGAGAAAGAGGGUGAGCUGCCAUGA